UCUCCGUAGGUGAACCUGCGGAGGGAUCAUUACAGAGUUCAUGCCCUCCGGGUAGAUUUCCCACCCAUUGCUAUAACUACUCUCGUUGCUUUGGCGGGCCGCUGGGCCCUGCCCGGCCGCCGGCCCCGGCUGGCGCGUGCCCGCCAGAGACCUCACAAACUCUGAAUGUUAGUGUCGUCCGAGUAACUAUACAAUCGUUAAAACUUUCAACAACGGAUCUCUUGGUUCUGGCAUGAUGAAGAACGCAGC
rnacentral:misc_RNA from 1 species